rnacentral:rRNA from 1 species
UACGGAGGGGACUAGCGUUGUUCGGAAUUACUGGGCGUAAAGCGCACGUGGGCGGAUUUGUUAGUCAGGGGUGAAAUCCCGAGGCUCAACCUCGGAACUGCCUUUGAUACUGCAAAUCUCGAGUCCGGAAGAGGUGAGUGGAAUUCCUAGUGUAGAGGUGAAAUUCGUAGAUAUUAGGAAGAACACCAGUGGCGAAGGCGGCUCACUGGUCCGGUACUGACGCUGAGGUGCGAAAGCGUGGGGAGCAAACAGG